rnacentral:rRNA from 1 species
GACGAACGCUGGCGGCGUGCUUAACACAUGCAAGUCGAACGGAAAGGCCCUGCUUUUGUGGGGUGCUCGAGUGUCGAACGGGUGAGUAACACGUGAGUAACCUGCCCUUGACUUUGGGAUAACUUCAGGAAACUGGGGCUAAUACCGGAUAGGAGCUCCUGCUGCAUGGUGGGGGUUGGAAAGUUUCGGCGGUUGGGGAUGGACUCGCGGCUUAUCAGCUUGUUGGUGGGGUAGUGGCUUACCAAGGCUUUGACGGGUAGCCGGCCUGAGAGGGUGACCGGCCACAUUGGGACUGAGAUACGGCCCAGACUCCUACGGGAGGCAGCAGUGGGGAAUAUUGCACAAUGGGCGGAAGCCUGAUGCAGCAACGCCGCGUGCGGGAUGACGGCCUUCGGGUUGUAAACCGCUUUCGCCUGUGACGAAGCGUGAGUGACGGUAAUGGGUGAAGAAGCACCGGCUAACUACGUG